rnacentral:rRNA from 1 species
AACGAACGCUGGCGGCAUGCCUAACACAUGCAAGUCGAACGAGACCUUCGGGUCUAGUUGCGCACGGGUGCGUAACGCGUGGGAACCUGCCUUUAGGUUCGGAAUAACUCAGAGAAAUUUGAGCUAAUACCGGAUGAUGUCUUCUGACCAAAGAUUUAUCGCCUUUAGAUGGGCCCGCGUUGGAUUAGCUAGUUGGUGGGGUAAAGGCCUACCAAGGCGAAGAUCCAUAGCUGGUCUGAGAGGAUGACCAGCCACACUGGGACUGAGACACGGCCCAGACUCCUACGGGAGGAAGCAGUGGGGAAUAUUGGACAAUGGGUGAAAGACUGAUCCAGCAAUGCCGAGUGAGUGAUGAAGGACUUAGGGUUGUAAAGCUCUUUUAAAAGAGAUGAUAAUGACAGUAUCGGGAGAAUAAGCGCCGGCUAACUACGUG